ACGAGCCCACGCCAACAGGGGAAAGGUUAUCGCUAGACCUACUGCUAGCGGCUAAACCCGCCACCAUCCACGCGACGCGAUCCCUCCCUCCCCAAACUAAAGAAGGCGACAGUCACAGCGCGCUAGGGUCCGGUCGAAUGGCGUCCGGAGGAGGCAUCGCCCGCGGCCGCCUCGCCGAGGAGCGCAAGUCGUGGCGCAAGAGCCACCCCCAUGGAUUCGUGGCCAAGCCGGAGACGCUGCCGGAUGGGUCCGUCAACCUCAUGGUCUGGAACUGCGUCAUCCCCGGCAAGGAAGGCGUAAGCAAAAAAAAUGACUCAUCCCCCCGCCCCCAAAUCUGUUCUUUAUGCGGCUACUGUGCCUGGUAAUCUCAGGGAGCAUGCUUGUGUACUCGCUAAGAUGUCAAAUCUAUUCAUGAUUUGUGAAGCCAAAGCACGAAAUAGGAGUUUUCCCACUAGUUGCUAGGAUUUUUUUCAGCACUUGACCCAGUACUCUUGCUUCUGGACCGAAUGCAAAUUUGCAAAACGCUUGCAACUACUGCAUGUGGAAAAUUUAAUAUUGUUAAAGGCGCAAAGGCAUAUAAUGAACGUUGCAAACCCAUAGUCCUAUCAUAUAGUUCUAGUACAACUAAAUUUGGGUAUUUCUGUGUAUAAGAGUCUGCAGUACCUUGUUCAUCUCGCGUGAUUUGGAGCGAAAUGUAUUGUUUGUGCCACUGUACUCUGGUGUUACAAUAUAAACUUUCUAUGACGCUACAACUAGCAAUCCCUCGUGGCCCACUUCAUAUCUGAUUUGAUAUGUGUUGAUUGAAAACGAACUAUUUCAGGCUAUUGUUCCCAAACAGAAACAAAUGAUGUAUUAUAAUGUGACAUGUUAUUAGAAUUCCUAGCCUUUUGACUUGAGUAACUUAAAACUUCAUUAGUCUUCAGCUUUCAUAUGAUAACAGACUUCUGUAACUUUGAUUCAAAGAAACUUUGUCUAGAACAGUGGAUUAGCAAGUCAUACAGUGAUUCAUGUAUUUUUUUAGAAAUUAAUCGGCAUAUAGGAUACAUUUUAACAAUUUAAAAUUAGUCAAAGACCCCAUUUAUUUUUUAAGAAAUUGAUUACCAUAUAGGUCUUUGAAUAUAUUUACGUAGGUCAGGUAAGCAGUACAUUUGUUGUCUAUGUACCAGGCUGCCAGCGUGGAAUUGCAUAGUUCAUCCAGGCACUAUUUGGUCGGCAUAGUAUUUUAAUUGAGUUCUAAACAUAAACAAGCCUUACCAUUUGAAAUGAGCUAAUCUGUUGGUAAUGGGGUCCCAUUAUGCGACAGAAGCAUGACUAGAUCAACUGAAAAUCAACAGGCCUUACGUUUUGAAACGAGCUAAUCUGGUGGUAAUGGGGACCCCUUAUGUGACAGAAGCAUGACUGGAUCGACUGAAAAUCUGAAACACCAUACUUGCAGAAUGUUCUUGCCCUUUGGAACCAAAUGAGGUACUUUGGAAAAAAUUUCCUUAACUUUUGAAACUGAUCACCAUUUUUUUUAAUGAACUCUGAAAUUUCUCUUUUCAAAAGAUGUGCUCUUUUCGUUAAAAAAAAGAUCAAGCAAUAAGAAAUUCGAUGGAAAUUUUGUAAGCUACAAAUUAGUUAUUCUACUGCACCGUUAAUGAUGUACACUUAACUGUUCACAAUACAAUAGUUUUGCCAUGCCCUUGCAGAUCCAUUUUGUUUGAUACCACUUUUUAAUGGUUGCGUACUGUUGUCAUGUUUUACCCUCAUACAACAAGUUGUCACUUCCACUCAUUCUUGAUAACCCUCAUCCCAAUCAUGGCAUAUAAAUAAAAUUGUGUGUUUAACUUAUCUUUUGCACACUGACUGGGAGGGUGGAUAUGUCCCCCUUACUCUCCAUUUUAGUGAAGAUUACCCAAGUAGCCCUCCCAUCUGCAACUUUCCAGCAGGAUUCUUCCACUUCAAUAUCUACCCUGCUGGGGCAGUGUGCCUAUUAAUCCUUAGCGAUUUUCUUUCAGGCAUGGAAACCUUCAAUCACAGUGAGGCAGAUUCUUAUAGGCAUCCAGGACCUGUUUGAGUACCCAAAUCCAGCCUCCUACGCACAGGAUAUCUGUUAUCAACUCUUUAAAAAGUUCUUAAUAUACUUGAACUUCCUGUAGAAACUGAGGUGUUGGGAGAUUUUCUUAAUUCUGAUGUGAUCAUUCCCAUAUCGUGUUCUUUUGUGGCAUUUACUGUCAUUUGCAGAAUAAGGCGGAGUACAAGAAUCGUGUUUGUCAGCAGGCCAAGUGGUAUCCUUCACUUGUGUAGCCUUGGACCGUCUGCAAGAUACUGGCAGCUAACCAUUGCUCAUUUUGGUGGAACCUGUCGUCAUUGAGCUUACUAUUCAUCAUAGAACUAAAUCCUGUGAUUGGGAUAUGGCGUCGUGAAUCGGUGGCAUAGCAGGAAGGUGUACAGGUCCUAUCUGACAUGCCGAUUGUGGAGAAAGGCUUGUUGGAACUGCUAAAAUGUACUUUGAGUACAUCGUAGAUACUUAUCUUUCUGGCUUAUCAGCAUACUGUGGUGCCCAAACAGAACAAAGCUUUUGUUCUGUUAUUCAUUUUGCUGUUUGAAAAUCUGUUUUCUGUUCUUGCUAAUGUAAGGGAUGCCAAUAAUGCAGACAGAAUAGUGAAACUCUGAGUAGCCCCAAUCAGUAAACAAGAUGCCUGAGUGGGCUAUAAGGCGCUUCCAAUUGUCCAAACUCACAAGUUAGGACCCCAUUCCUGGUUACAAGUCAAUAAAGCUUCCAGCUUUGUUAA